GAUCAUGGCUCAGAUUGAACGCUGGCGGCAGGCUUAACACAUGCAAGUCGAACGGUAACAGGAGAGAGCUUGCUUUCUUGCUGACGAGUGGCGGACGGGUGAGUAAUGCUUGGGAAUCUGGCUUAUGGAGGGGGAUAACGACUGGAAACUGUCGCUAAUACCGCGUAGAGUCGAGAGACGAAAGUGCGGGACCGUAAGGCCGCAUGCCAUAGGAUGAGCCCAAGUGGGAUUAGG
rnacentral:rRNA from 1 species